rnacentral:lncRNA from 1 species
CUCUGCAACAGAGCCUGGCGUGGUGUUGCCCCACUGCAUGUUUGUUGACUGACUGGCUGAUGGAUGCAGAGCCCGUCCUUCCUAAUGGUUCAGACUCAGGCGUCAUCAGCCCAGAUGGCUCCGAGGGAAGGGAGAGGCCACUCCGACUGCUCUGAGGUCCAGGGAAGGGGCCUGUGCUGCCGCUUGGAGGGUGCCAUGCCCAGAGCCUCUGCCCCUAGCCUCAGCCUCGCCUACUCACUGGGGGCUCCAGCACCCCCGGCCACCCCAGGACUCCCGAAGAGGCUGCUAGGUCGGCCUGCCCAAAGAGCGGUGAGGAGCGUAUGUGAAGAGCCCCAGUCUUGAGGAGCAGCCUGUAUCUGGAGAGAGGGGAGCCCCGGACCAGAGGUGGGGGACAGGAAGCCAUCGCCCCACCCUGCCUCCUCCCCCACCACAGGUGGCCCUCGCCCCGGCCCACCCGCGCCUCCCAGGCCCAGCCUCACCUGCUGCCGAGAGAGGACAGUGAUCCCCCAAAAGCCGGAGGUGGAGGAGGAGGAGGAAGAGGAGGAAGGAGCUGGAGGAGCCGGGGACUCGCCCGCUGAAGAUGCUCUUGUCAAGACAAUGAAUGAGAAGCAGCCGUGCGCCCGCCUCCGGGGUGGCCGCGCCCCUUGGGGCGGAGCUCUUCCAGGCCCGCCCUGCGCUCCCGGGCUCCCGCUGCGGCCGC